GCUGGGCUGGAGCGGGAGAUGGUCAGCCCCUCUUCUCCAGCGGCCGCGCCCCCGGGAGCGGCCGGGACGCGGGACCUUGGCCGGAGAAACCGGGAUGUGACCCCCUCCGACCGCCCAUUGCCCUCCCUGGCACCCUGCCUGCUCCUCCCGCUUCCUCUCCCACUCCGCGGCCCCACUGGACCGCGAGCCUUCGCCGCGAUCUCCGGGGAGAGAGGCGCGGCCCCCAGGCGCACAGCCCGGCAGAAGUUGGGCUCAGCAGGACAGCCCUGACCCAGCUGCGCCAGUGGUGGGCUCGGGAAGAGGGGAGAGCAAGGCGCAGUGAAGGGUCUGGGGGACAGGGCUUUGUGUGGGCUCUUCCUGUUGCCCCGGCCCCGGGGUCCGGGCAGGGGGAGACAUGCUGAGCCCGCGCCCAGGUGACCGCCGCCGCGACAGCAGCCUCAGCAGCAGCUUCAGCAGCAGCAGCGGCGGGACAGCGACAGCGGGGGCGGCGCAGGCGCACUGUGCCCCGCCGAGCCUGCGGUUCCCGAGCCCCGUGUGCGGCACCGCCACAGUCUGGGCAGCGGCGGCCGGGGGAGCGCUACUACCAUGAACUGCCUGGUCCUCCUCCCCAGAGCUGCUCAUCCGGGUCGGGCUGGAGACACAGUCAGGGGACCCCGUCGCCGCCGCCGCGCCCCCUCUUCUUUCGGCUCGAUCUUCUCCUCCACCUCUUCCUCUUCUUCCUCCACCUUCUGUUCCUGCAUCCCCCCUCCCCCGCCGCGGAUCCUGGCCGCUGCUCUUCAGACCCAGGAUGCCGGGGGGCAAGAGAGGGCUGGUGGCACCGCAGAACACAUUUUUGGAGAACAUCGUCAGGCGCUCCAGUGGUAAGAAGAGUUGCAGUCAGAACACCCCUCCACCUCCAUCCUGCCCACCCACGCGCCCUCGCCCCCCCCAUCCCAUCCCUUUCCCAAGGGGGGAGGGGGAUGCAGACAGCCCACCUGGUGGCUUCAGUUGCAAGCUGGACCUGCUUUCAGGUGGGGGUGGAAAUGAGGUGGAAGAAGAAAGUUAGUUGCAUCCCCUCCCCAAGACAUACUCACGCCCUUCCACCUGUCCAGAGCCCAGAACGCGAGGAAGGCAAGGGGGAGCAGCGGGUAGGGUGCAGGUACAUCUGGAGAAGAGUUGUUUCGCUUUGUUGACGGAUAUCUUUCUUGUUUGUCUUUUCCCCACAUUUUUUUAUCAAGUAGGCUGCAGAGGCUGAUCAAAUUCUUAGAGUUAAUCUCAGUGGAAGGGUUUCCCUCAAGUUGGGAAUGGCUGUGAAAGUGACUCCUUAAGAUUUAAGUCUCUGGAAUGGCUUUCAGGCCCAAUGGGCCCCCGUGAAAGGAGCCUGUGUUUGAGAGGGUGGUUGGAAUCGAACCUAACUAAGAAAGAGAGUCAGUUCU